UAUUGGACAAUGGGCGAAAGCCUGAUCCAGCAAUGCAGCGUGAGUGAUGAAGGCCUUAGGGUUGUAAAGCUCUUUUACCCGGGAUGAUAAUGACAGUACCGGGAGAAUAAGCUCCGGCUAACUCCGUGCCAGCAGCCGCGGUAAUACGGAGGGAGCUAGCGUUGUUCGGAAUUACUGGGCGUAAAGCGCACGUAGGCGGCUUUGUAAGUUAGAGGUGAAAGCCUGGAGCUCAACUCCAGAAUUGCCUUUGAUACUGCAUCGCUUGAAUCCAGGAGAGGUGAGUGGAAUUCCGAGUGUAGAGGUGAAAUUCGUAGAUAUUCGGAAGAACACCAGUGGCGAAGGCGGCUCACUGGACUGGUAUUGACGCUGAGGUGCGAAA
rnacentral:rRNA from 1 species